UACGGAGGGAUCUAGCGUUAUUCGGAAUUACUGGGCGUAAAGCGAGCGUAGGCGGAUUUGUAAGUUGGAGGUGAAAUCCCAGAGCUUAACUCUGGAACUGCCUUCAAAACUACAUUUCUUGAGUUUGGUAGAGGAGAGUGGAAUUCCUAGUGUAGAGGUGAAAUUCGUAGAUAUUAGGAGGAACACCAGUGGCGAAGGCGACUCUCUGGGCCAAUACUGACGCUGAGGUUCGAAAGCAUGGGUAGCGAACAGG
rnacentral:rRNA from 1 species